CCUACGGGGGGCAGCAGUGGGGAAUAUUGGACAAUGGGGGAAACCCUGAUCCAGCAAUGCCGCGUGAGUGAUGAAGGCCUUAGGGUUGUAAAGCUCUUUUACCCGAGAUGAUAAUGACAGUAUCGGGAGAAUAAGCUCCGGCUAACUCCGUGCCAGCAGCCGCGGUAAUACGGAGGGAGCUAGCGUUGUUCGGAAUUACUGGGCGUAAAGCGCACGUAGGCGGCGAUCUAAGUCAGAGGUGAAAGCCCGGGGCUCAACCCCGGAAUUGCCUUUGAGACUGGAUUGCUAGAAUCCGGGAGAGGUGAGUGGAAUUCCGAGUGUAGAGGUGAAAUUCGUAGAUAUUCGGAAGAACACCAGUGGCGAAGGCGGCUCACUGGACCGGCAUUGACGCUGAGGUGCGAAAGCGUGGGGAGCAAACAGGAUUAGAUACCCCUGUAGUC
rnacentral:rRNA from 1 species